rnacentral:rRNA from 1 species
GACGAACGCUGGCGGCGUGCCUAAUACAUGCAAGUAGAACGCUGAAGGAGGAGCUUGCUUCUCUGGAUGAGUUGCGAACGGGUGAGUAACGCGUAGGUAACCUGCCUGGUAGCGGGGGAUAACUAUUGGAAACGAUAGCUAAUACCGCAUAAGAGUAGAUGUUGCAUGACAUUUGCUUAAAAGGUGCAAUUGCAUCACUACCAGAUGGACCUGCGUUGUAUUAGCUAGUUGGUGAGGUAACGGCUCACCAAGGCAACGAUACAUAGCCGACCUGAGAGGGUGAUCGGCCACACUGGGACUGAGACACGGCCCAGACUCCUACGGGAGGCAGCAGUAGGGAAUCUUCGGCAAUGGACGGAAGUCUGACCGAGCAACGCCGCGUGAGUGAAGAAGGUUUUCGGAUCGUAAAGCUCUGUUGUAAGAGAGGAACGAGUGUGAGAGUGGAAAGUUCACACUGUGACGGUAUCUUACCAGAAAGGGACGGCUAACUACGUG